ensembl:lncRNA
GAGAGAGAGAGAGAGAGAGAGAGAGAGAGAGAGAGAGAGAGAGAGAGAGAGAGAGAGAGAGAGAGAGAUGAUGAAGACUGACACUCGCUCACACGCUUCUGUUCAGAGAAAGGUGAUCCGCCGGCCGGCAGCAUGUUGCAUCCGCUCAUGAUCUUCAUGGUCGUCGCCAACAUGUCCAUGAGCAUCAUCUUCUGGACCUUCUUGAUGUCGGAGGUCUUCUUCAAAGAGGCAGAGACGGAGGAAGUGUCUCCGGCGUAGAGUCUGUCAGCAUGUAGAUCUCACACAGCUUCAUAGAGAUUCUCCUCUGCAGCUACAGAGCGCUUUCCCCCACAUUUUAAAGUUUUCUGUCAGCCUUUUUUUCUUUUGUCCUGUUUGUUCUGUAACGGGGCUGUAAAAAGACCGUUUGGGAAUUGUGGAGUGCUUGUUCAGUUACAGAGACACUCCACUGCUGCAUGUCAGAACACCAGCAUGUUGCACUGGCUCCUGAUUUUGAUCGUCGUGUUCAACACCUCCAUCACAAUCGUGGAGUGGACGUUUCUCUUAUAUGAGCUGAUGAGGUUAAAUUCAGAAAACCCAGAUGAAGUGUGUCCGGAGCAGACAGAGCAGCACGGCUCGGGAGCAUGAGGAGUUCAAUCUCACAUCACGUGCACAAAGGAAAUAAGUGUCAAGACUGGGUCUUUGGCCCUAAAACUGAAGCUGGUGAUUCUGAGUGCGGCCGUGAAGAGGAGAGGGUUCGGAUGGAGGAAGAGCGAGCCGGUCUGCUGCCGGGAUUCAACAUCACCGAGCCCCAUCAUCAUCCCAGGAUCCGGCCUUCAUUACAUCACAUCACUAUGAGUCUACAUACAGUACAGUCUGUGCCAGCGGUCAUUACUCUGGCUUUAAUGUUUUCACUUCAUCUUUAGCAUGUUUUUAUCAGACCAGAUGCUCUUUUAGCUGCUGUAGAGAAGCAAAGCGUAGAUAACAGUCUUUCAGCAUGAAAAGAGGGCGUGGUCAUGUGAUUGUUGUGAUGUCAUCAACGAAAUCGCUGUUCUGUGAUGCCAUUAAAAUUAAUUUUCGGAUAUUUCAUAUUUUGGCACUGUAUAUUUUAUAUAUAUACUGUAUAUAUAUAUAAAACAGAAGGCAUAAAUGCUCACUGCUGACACUGCAUUCAAACAGGGUUGUGUGUUCCAAACAUAUCGUAAGAAACCAUUGAUUCUUUUGGGAAACGCAGCACAGAACAAUUCUUAUCAGAGGACAGAAAAACAUAAUAUGUUUGAGUUAUUUCCCAAUAAACAAACUGAAGUUGUAGCCUAUAGUUUGUGCAGUUACAUUUAUUUAAAUUGAACGUUAAAGUUCAUAUUGAUCAUGUUCUAUUCUAUAACUAAUGUUUAUUAUAAAUCAUACACUGUCAGAAUAUUAUGGGUGCAACUGGCAGUCAGUCCCUUAUGAAAAUGAACCAUGGUUUUACUAUAUAGUGACCAUAGUAUUUGUAGAUUUCCACGGUUACCACUACAGUAAACAUAUUUUAACCAUGUGUAAACAAAAAAGUAAUCUAAUAAGCUGCAAUUGAGGUGUACUGAAUGUUAAAUGCCUUUUUAAAUAUAAUGUUAAAUGGGUAUCAUUACCCAUUUUACUCUUAAUAAUUUACUAAUUUUAAUUACUUAAGAGUUAAGUUUAUCGGUAUCCUAUCGAAAACAAAAUAAAUGUUAUCGCCCAUCCCUACUGUGAAACAAUGGCCCAGAACAGUGCUGCCACCUUGUGCAACAACUGAGUAGUGCAAAACAAAUUCAAUGCGCAUGUGCGGCCUGCACUGACAGUGCACACAUACUAUUCUGAUCACGAGCACUGUACGCUCACCCUCGCGUACGUGUGAAAAGUGAAGUAUACUUUGGACUUGAGUCUACAUGCAGUCUGUGUCAACUGUGACUAUUCUGUCUUUUAAUGUUUUCACUUCAUCUUUAACAUGUUUUUAUCAGACCAGAUGCUCUUUUAGCUGCUGUAGAGAAGCAAAGCGUAGAUAACAGUCAUUCAGCAUGAAAAGAGGGCGUGGUCAUGUGAUUGUUGUGAUGUCAUCAACGAAAUCGCUGUGUUCUGUGAUGCCAUUAAAAUGAAUUCUGGGAUAUUUCAUAUUUUGGCACUGUAUAUAUAAAUAAACAAGAAGGCAUAAAUGAUGCAAAUGGAAAAUAGAAUUAAAGCCUCUCCUCAUUAUGGAACCAACAGGUUGUUGUGUCUGAUUCAUCUUCAUGAGCUAUGAGAUUAUUCUAAAACCUGUCUGGGUCAAUAGGGACAGAAACAUGUGAGAUGUUCAGCUCUAAAACACCGCAGCAGAAUCUCAUGAAGCCCGUCGAAAGCUCAAAAUCAGAAGAAAGAAAUGCAUCAUGCUAAACUAAUGCUGACCUAGUUUCAUUAUUAACUAUUUUUAUUGUGUACUGGUUUAAUUGAGCUGCUGUUAAGAGAUUUACACCAUUUUAUUAGCUUUUACAAUGCUAGAACACCAUUCAUGAGGUUUUAUCUUUUAUUAAUAAAGUCGAAUACUGUGUACCUGUUUUUUCACUUAGUUCAUAAUUAACCAUAACCAUAACCAGUCUGUAAGCCGUGUCAAAGCUGGAUAAUAUGUGCUGAUAAAGCCUGUGACCUUGAGUGUCUCAGUCAAUCGCAG